rnacentral:rRNA from 1 species
CACCGCGGUUAAACGGGAGACCCAAGUUGAUAGAAACGGCGUAAAGCGUGGUUAAGACAUUAACUCAAUAGGGUUAAAUAACCUCUAAGCAGUCAAAUACUAUCGAGACCAUAAAGCACAUCUACGAAAGUAGCCCUAACAUAUCUGACCCCACGAAAGCUAUAACC